AUACAUGCAAGUCGAGCGGACAGAUGGGAGCUUGCUCCCUGAUGUUAGCGGCGGACGGGUGAGUAACACGUGGGUAACCUGCCUGUAAGACUGGGAUAACUCCGGGAAACCGGGGCUAAUACCGGAUGGUUGUUUGAACCGCAUGGUUCAAACAUAAAAGGUGGCUUCGGCUACCACUUACAGAUGGACCCGCGGCGCAUUAGCUAGUUGGUGAGGUAACGGCUCACCAAGGCAACGAUGCGUAGCCGACCUGAGAGGGUGAUCGGCCACACUGGGACUGAGACACGGCCCAGACUCCUACGGGAGGCAGCAGUAGGGAAUCUUCCGCAAUGGACGAAAGUCUGACGGAGCAACGCCGCGUGAGUGAUGAAGGUUUUCGGAUCGUAAAGCUCUGUUGUUAGGGAAGAACAAGUACCGUUCGAAUAGGGCGGUACCUUGACGGUACCUAACCAGAAAGCCACGGCUAACUACGUGCCAGCAGCCGCGGUAAUACGUAGGUGGCAAGCGUUGUCCGGAAUUAUUGGGCGUAAAGGGCUCGCAGGCGGUUUCUUAAGUCUGAUGUGAAAGCCCCCGGCUCAACCGGGGAGGGUCAUUGGAAACUGGGGAACUUGAGUGCAGAAGAGGAGAGUGGAAUUCCACGUGUAGCGGUGAAAUGCGUAGAGAUGUGGAGGAACACCAGUGGCGAAGGCGACUCUCUGGUCUGUAACUGACGCUGAGGAGCG
rnacentral:rRNA from 1 species